rnacentral:rRNA from 1 species
CCUGCCCUUGGGAGGGGAACAACAACUGGAAACGGUUGCUAAUACCCCGUAGGCUGAGGAGCAAAAGGAGAAAUCCGCCCAAGGAGGGGCUCGCGUCUGAUUAGCUAGUUGGUGAGGUAAUAGCUUACCAAGGCGAUGAUCAGUAGCUGGUCCGAGAGGAUGAUCAGCCACACUGGGACUGAGACACGGCCCAGACUCCUACGGGAGGCAGCAGUGGGGAAUUUUCCGCAAUGGGCGAAAGCCUGACGGAGCAAUGCCGCGUGGAGGUGGAAGGCCUACGGGUCGUCAACUUCUUUUCUCGGAGAAGAAACAAUGACGGUAUCUGAGGAAUAAGCAUCGGCUAACUCUGUGCCAGCAGCCGCGGUAAGACAGAGGAUGCAAGCGUUAUCCGGAAUGAUUGGGCGUAAAGCGUCUGUA